AUUCCCUCCAUCUUUAUACUUACUAUUUUCGUUCUCUACAUCUUAAUAAUAUUUCUCUCUCAUUUUUUCGUUCUUUCCCGCCUCUCUUCCUAAAAUCCCUAAUUUUCUCCCAAACUCUCCAACAUAACAACUCCUCCCAUACCUCCUUUCCCACUCCUCUUCCUAUAAACCCUAAAUUUUUCCCAAAAUCUUCCAACACAACAACUCUUUCCAUACCUCACCGCCAUUAGACUUCGAUGUUGUCGUACUUGGCCUUACCACCACCAUCGCGACACACCUCACCUAUAGCUGAAUCAUGCCCUGCCGCACCUGAACCUCACCACAGGCAUCGCACUUGAAUCUCAAAUAUCGAAGUCAGUUAUUGUCUUUCCUUCUUCCACUUUCCAUUUCUGGUGACCUAGAUUUUUUUCCUUCCCUCUAUAUUUUCCUCUAUGUACAGAUUCUUGGCUCCUCGAUUCCCCUUUCCCUUAGGUUGCCUUGAUAAAGUUGGAGGCUGGUAUGUACGACGACAACGACAUUGAUUCCCUCGACAACGAUUUCUACAGUUAUCUGUUUUGAAAAUCAUCCUCGGACUAGAACUAAAAUGGCUUAAUCUAUUGAAUCUCAUACUGGGAAGGUGUUUCUUCUAUGAUAUUACUCUAACCUUUUGUAGUAAAGGACAAUAUUUUUCAAUGCAGCAAAUUUUCAAGUGGUGGAUUUUGAUGUAUUAUUUAUGCCUUGGGCAUUGAAUGGAAUGCUUACUACAGUGUAUAGAGAUGGAGAUAAAGAAAGUUGAAGAAAAGAAACAAUCAUUAUUCUCCAAACAUAACAAUAGAAAACAAUAGAGAGAUUAGAACAAUUGUUCUUAGAUAUUAUGUUGAUAGUUGGAAUUUUUUUAAUUAAGAUGGUUGGAUUGUAUUAUUGUUAAACUGAGAUAUGAACUUUGUAAUAACAAUUAUUUGUAUUAAUGAUAUUUUUAAUUAUCCAUUUCUCUAUAUUUAUCAUUUUAA